rnacentral:rRNA from 1 species
CACGUAGUUAGCCGGCGCUUCUUCUGCAGGUACCGUCACUUUCGCUUCUUCCCUGCUGAAAGAGGUUUACAACCCGAAGGCCGUCAUCCCUCACGCGGCGUCGCUGCAUCAGGCUUUCGCCCAUUGUGCAAUAUUCCCCACUGCUGCCUCCCGUAGGAGUCUGGGCCGUGUCUCAGUCCCAGUGUGGCCGGUCGCCCUCUCAGGCCGGCUACCCGUCAUCGCCUUGGUGAGCCACUACCUCACCAACAAACUGAUAGGCCGCGAGCCCAUCCUUCACCGAAAAACUUUCCAACACCCGCCAUGCGACAGGAGCUCAUAUCCGGUAUUAGCCCCGAUUUCCCCGAGGUUAUCCCAGAGUGAAGGGCAGGUUGCUCACGUGUUACUCACCCGUUCGCCACUAAUCAGACCGAGCAAGCUCGGCCGUCAUCGUUCGACUUGCAUGUGUUAAGCACGCCGCCAGCCGUUCGUCCUCGAGCCAGGACGUCAAACUUACUCUGUAGACUACG